rnacentral:rRNA from 1 species
CAGCCGCCGCGGUAAUACGAAGGGUGCAAGCGUUACUCGGAAUUACUGGGCGUAAAGCGUGCGUAGGUGGUGGUUUAAGUCCGUUGUGAAAGCCCUGGGCUCAAUCUGGGAAUUGCGGUGGAAACUGGACGGCUAGAGUGUGUCAGAGGAUGGUGGAAUUCCCGGUGUAGCGGUGAAAUGCGUAGAGAUCGGGAGGAACAUCAGUGGCGAAGGCGGCCAUCUGGGACAACACUGACGCUGAAGCACGAAAGCGUGGGGAGCAAACAGGAUUAGAUACCCCUGUAGUCCCUGUCUCUUAUAC